rnacentral:lncRNA from 1 species
AGCAAGGCAGGUCUUAUUACAGUGUUAUUCCUUCAUAAAGAAAUUAAUAGCUGCAAUUCAUUUAGUGUUCUGUUUACUCUUGUCAGGGAAGAAUGGCAAGUGAAAAAAUAGCACAAUAGAGACAUCUUAUCUUCCUUCGUAAACUUUCAUUAUCUUAGGCAUGUUCAGAAGGCACAAGGAAUCCCUGGUGUCUGAUAUUAUGCGUGUGAAGCUGUGGCGUUGAAUCUUCAGCACAAUUCAAAGAAUCAGCCUAUUAUGUAACAACUAAGGAGGAUGUAUGCCAUAACUGUGAACAUUCUUUCUUAUAGAUGACAGGUUUACAUUGUUCAUUUUGGGAAAAUAUGUUUGCUUUGUUGGCUCCAGCCUCUAAUUAUUUAAGCUAGUCAAAUCCAAAAUCGUUAAAAUGUGCAAAUAUUACCUGGAAUCACUCCAAGAGGAAACAGUAGGCAGUGAUCUGGCCCUUGGAUUGAGCACUCAAUUGCUGCUUAGUUUCUUUUCAAAUUUCAGAACAGAUAUGCUCUUUAAAGCCAGUAUGUACUCCCUUUGGCAACUGGUAAAAUAUGCUUGGUAGUUACACACAAGGUUUCUGAGUGGCUAGACCACACCCAGUCCAUUCUGUUCUAAUUUAUGGAAGAUGAGCACUAAAUAUUUUUAUGAAUAUAAUUUUUCACAUUAGUCACUUCAUACUUGCCCCCCAAUAGACACAUACACAUGCACAUGUGUGCAUCCUGGAGAGGAGAGGCUGUAUAUUCUGCAUUUGUUUCUGUAUACCACCCUUCUGGAUUACUAUGUCCCUUAUAAUUCUAAGAUCUUGUAUGCUCAUAGAUUCACUGUAGUAAUGGGCAUUUGAAGAAUACACUUGAAGACACUACUGUUAGUGCCACACUUUUAAAAAUUGACAAUUUAGGCCAGUGGUUCUCAAACAGAGGCAAUUUUCUCCCCUCAGGGUACCUGUAACUGGAGGAGAGGAAUACUCUAUUAAAAUCUAGUCAGGGAAAGGCCAAGAAUGCUGCUAAAACUUUUGAAAUGCCUAAGAUAGACCCCCAAACAAAGAAUUAUCUGGCCCAAAAUGUUAAUAGGGCUGAGAUUUAGAAAUCCAAGUCUGUGUCAAUGAAACCACCUUGUUAUCUCUAAAUAAAUAAAACGUCGCCACACAAGUAGGUAAAAAAAAAGA